rnacentral:ncRNA from 2 species
CUCUUAUCCAGAGAGGUGGAGGGACCGGCCCAUUGAAACCUCGGCAACCUGACAGCGAUAACGGCUAAUUAUUCAGGCUCAUCGCAUUCAAGGUGCCAACUCCGGCAGAGGUAUUUUCUGGAAGAUGAGAG